UACGAAGGGGGCUAGCGUUGCUCGGAAUCACUGGGCGUAAAGCGCACGUAGGCGGUCUGUUGCGUCAGGAGUGAAAACUCGGGGCUUAACCCCGAGCCUGCUUCUGAUACGGGCAGACUAGAGGUAUGCAGGGGAGAACGGAAUUCCUGGUGUAGCGGUGAAAUGCGCAGAUAUCAGGAGGAACACCGGUGGCGAAGGCGGAUCUCUGGGCCUUACCUGACGCUCAGGCGCGAAAGCUAGGGGAGCGAACAGG
rnacentral:rRNA from 1 species